GUCUGUCCAGGACAAUAGGGAAAUGGGUGAAAGUCCCAUACGGUCCCGCCGCUGUAAGGAAGGAGCUUAUUGCCCGCAUGCCACUGACUUUUUGUUGGGAAGGCAGGGCUUUAGGUGAGAAUGUCCAAGUCAGAAGACCUGCCUUUUUGGGU
rnacentral:ncRNA from 1 species